UACGAAGGGGGCUAGCGUUGCUCGGAAUCACUGGGCGUAAAGGGUGCGUAGGCGGGUCUUUAAGUCAGGGGGUGAAAUCCUGGAGCUCAACUCCAGAACUGCCUUUGAUACUGAAGAUCUUGAGUUCGGGAGAGGUGAGGUGGAACUGCGAGUGUAGAGGUGAAAUUCGUAGAUAUUCGCAAGAACACCAGUGGCGAAGGCGGCUCACUG
rnacentral:rRNA from 1 species